AAGGAUCAUUACUGAUUGACAUUUAUGUCAUUUUACACACUGUGAACUUUUAUUAGAGCAAAACUUAUUAAAACAUGUAAUUAUUAAAAAUAUAUCGUCAAGAAAAUAAUAAAGUGAAAACUUUCAACAACGGAUCUCUUGGUUCUCGCAUCGAUGAAGAGCGCAGCGAAAUGCGAUAAUUAAUGUGAAUUGCAGAUUUUCGUGAAUCAUCGAGUUCUUGAACGCACAUUGCGCCCUCUGGUAUUCCGGAGGGCAUGUCUGUUUGAGCGUCAUUUCAUUGUCACUUUACAGUGGUUAUGACAUUGUCAGAAAUGACUUUGUUGAAAAAGAUUAGGAAAACACCAAAGAACUAGGUUUACACCUCUUUGGAGUAUCCUUUGCAAAAAAAAAUCAGAAAGUUUGACCUCAAAUCAGAUAGGAAUACCCGCUGAACUUAAGCAUAUCAAUAA
rnacentral:rRNA from 1 species